UACAGAGGUCUCAAGCGUUGUUCGGAUUCAUUGGGCGGAAAGGGUGCGUAGGCGGCGCGGUAAGUCGGGUGUGAAAUCUCGGGGCUUAACUCCGAAACUGCAUUCGAUACUGCCGUGCUUGAGGACUGGAGAGGAGACUGGAAUUUACGGUGUAGCGGUGAAAUGCGUAGAUAUCGUAAGGAAGACCAGUGGCGAAGGCGGGUCUCUGGACAGUUCCUGACGCUGAGGCACGAAGGUCAGGGGAGCAAACGGG
rnacentral:rRNA from 1 species